rnacentral:rRNA from 1 species
GCACUUUAAGCAGUGAAGAAGACUCCAUGGUUAAUACCCAUGGACGAUGACAUUAGCUGCAGAAUAAGCACCGGCUAACUCUGUGCCAGCAGCCGCGGUAAUACAGAGGGUGCAAGCGUUAAUCGGAAUUACUGGGCGUAAAGGGAGCGUAGGUGGCUCUAUAAGUCAGAUGUGAAAUCCCCGGGCUUAACCUGGGAACUGCAUCUGAAACUGUAGAGCUAGAGUAUGUGAGAGGAAGGUAGAAUUCCAGGUGUAGCGGUGAAAUGCGUAGAGAUCUGGAGGAAUACCGAUGGCGAAGGCAGCCUUCUGGCAUAAUACUGACACUGAGGCUCGAAAGCGUGGGUAGCAAACAGGAUUAGAUACCCUGGUAGUCCACGCCGUAAACGAUGUCUACUAGUCGUUGG